rnacentral:rRNA from 1 species
CCUACGGGAGGCAGCAGUGAGGAAUAUUGGUCAAUGGACGAGAGUCUGAACCAGCCAAGUAGCGUGAAGGAUGACUGCCCUAUGGGUUGUAAACUUCUUUUAUAUGGGAAUAAAAUGUUCCACGUGUGGGAUUUUGUAUGUACCAUAUGAAUAAGGAUCGGCUAACUCCGUGCCAGCCGCCGCGGGAAUACGGAGGAUCCGAGCGUUAUCCGGAUUUAUUGGGUUUAAAGGGAGCGUAGGUGGAUUGUUAAGUCAGUUGUGAAAGUUUGCGGCUCAACCGUAAAAUUGCAGUUGAAACUGGCAGUCUUGAGUACAAUAGAGGUGGGCGGAAUUCGUGGUGUAGCGGUGAAAUGCUUAGAUAUCACGAAGAACUCCGAUUGCGAAGGCAGCUCACUGGACUGCAACUGACACUGAGGCUCGAAAGUGUGGGUAUCAAACAGGAUUAGAUACCCUUGUAGUC